rnacentral:sRNA from 1 species
AGUUGUUUACUCUAUUCGUCUCAUAUAUUGAAUC